rnacentral:rRNA from 1 species
UACGGAGGGUGCGAGCGUUGUCCGGAAUCACUGGGCGUAAAGGGCGCGCGGCGGCUCGGCACGUCCGUUGUGAAAUCGCCCGGCUCAACUGGGCGGGGUCGGCGGAUACGGCCGAGCUGGAGCAAGCUAGGGGGUAAUGGAAUUCCCGGUGUAGUGGUGGAAUGCGUAGAUAUCGGGAGGAACACCAGUGGCGAAGGCGGUUACCUGGAGCUUUGCUGACGCUGAUGCGCGAAAGCGUGGGGAGCGAUCCGG